rnacentral:rRNA from 1 species
GAUGAACGCUGGCGGCGUGCCUAAUACAUGCAAGUCGAGCGAACAGACGAGGAGCUUGCUCCUCUGACGUUAGCGGCGGACGGGUGAGUAACACGUGGAUAACCUACCUAUAAGACUGGGAUAACUUCGGGAAACCGGAGCUAAUACCGGAUAAUAUAUUGAACCGCAUGGUUCAAUAGUGAAAGACGGUUUUGCUGUCACUUAUAGAUGGAUCCGCGCCGCAUUAGCUAGUUGGUAAGGUAACGGCUUACCAAGGCGACGAUGCGUAGCCGACCUGAGAGGGUGAUCGGCCACACUGGAACUGGGACACGGUCCAGACUCCUACGGGAGGCAGCAGUAGGGAAUCUUCCGCAAUGGGCGAAAGCCUGACGGAGCAACGCCGCGUGAGUGAUGAAGGUCUUCGGAUCGUAAAACUCUGUUAUUAGGGAAGAACAAAUGUGUAAGUAACUAUGCACGUCUUGACGGUACCUAAUCAGAAAGCCACGGCUAACUACGUA